rnacentral:rRNA from 1 species
UACGUAGGGCGCAAGCGUUGUCCGGAAUUAUUGGGCGUAAAGAGCUCGUAGGCGGUUUGUCGCGUCUGUCGUGAAAGCUUGGGGCUUAACCCCAAGUCUGCGGUGGAUACGGGCAGACUAGAGGCAGGUAGGGGAGAACGGAAUUCCCGGUGUAGCGGUGAAAUGCGCAGAUAUCGGGAGGAACACCGGUGGCGAAGGCGGUUCUCUGGGCCUGUACUGACGCUGAGGAGCGAAAGCGUGGAGAGCGAACAGG